AUGAGGGCUCCCAUGGCCGUCAGGCUCGCGGCCAUUCUCCUCCUCCUCCACCUCACGCGCUUCCAUGCCAUGGCCGCUGCGGCGGGUGAGCGGCGGGCUGGGACGAUCGUCUGGCAGCAGCAUCGGCGGCAAGUGCUGCUGCAGGAGAAGGCCACGCUCCUGGCGUUGAAACGCUCGCUCACCCUGCCGUCGCCGUCGGCUCUGGCCGACUGGAACGAGUCCAAUGGCGAUGUCUGCGGCCUCACCGGCGUCGCCUGCGACUGGAGGCGGCAGCACGUCAUCGGCCUCUCCCUAGGCGACAAGAACAUCUCUGGCCCCGUGCCGCCGGUCAUCGGUAACCUCACGCGCCUCAAAAGCCUCGACAUGUCUCGCAAUUUCCUCGCAGGGCAGAUCCCGGCCGAACUCUCCAACCUCCGCGGCCUCGAAGUCCUCGACCUCGGCCACAACCAGCUCAGCGGCGGCAUACCGCCGUCCCUCUCUGAGCUGGCGAACAUGUACUACCUCAGCCUCAAGGAUAAUCAGCUCUCAGGCCCUAUCCCGGCCGUUCUCUUCAAGAACUGCACCAGUCUAGGUCUGGUCGACUUCGGCAAUAAUGAUCUAUCCGGCGAGAUUCCCCUGGAAGCCUCGGAGAACAUUCUUGUGCUCAACCUCUACUCCAACAUGCUAACCGGAAAACUCCCAUGGUGGCUCGCUAACUGCACGUAUCUAUACUUGCUGGAUGUGGAGGACAACUCGCUCACCGACGAGCUCCCCUCCGGCAUCAUAGCGGGCAAGCGGCAGCUCAAGUACCUGCAUUUGUCCAACAACUACCGGUUCUCGAGCCACGACGGCAACACCAACCUGGAGCCCUUCUUCGCCGCAGUAUCGAACUGCUCCCAAAUACUGGGGAUCGAGGCCGGCGCGGUGGGGAUGGGCGGUCGGCUGCCAAGUGUAGGGCAAUAA
rnacentral:rRNA from 1 species